CGAGGGUGCAAGCGUUAAUCGGAAUUACUGGGCGUAAAGCGCGCGUAGGCGGCUUUGUAAGUCGGAUGUGAAAGCCCCGGGCUUAACCUGGGAAUUGCAUUCGAUACUGCGGAGCUAGAGUAUGGUAGAGGGAAGUGGAAUUCCGGGUGUAGCGGUGAAAUGCGUAGAUAUCCGGAGGAACACCAGUGGCGAAGGCGACUUACUGGGCCAAUACUGACGCUGAGGUGCGAAAGCGUGGGGAGCAAACCGGAUUAGAUACCCGAGUAGUCC
rnacentral:rRNA from 1 species